GGAGAAAUGGCAGAGCGGUCGAAUGCGGCGGUUUUGAAAACCGUUGUUCCUUUACGGGAACUGGGGGGUUUGGAUUCCUCUUUCUCCGCCA
rnacentral:tRNA from 1 species